CCAAUAGCGUAUAUUAAAGUUGUUGCAGUUAAAAAGCUCGUAGUUGAAUUUCGGGACUAACAGGUUGGUCGCGCCAUUGGUGUGUACUGGUCUAGUUGGUUUCUCCCUUCUGACGAACCACGAUGUCAUUAAUUUGGUGUCGUGGGAAAUCAGGACUGUUACUUUGAAAAAAUUAGAGUGUUUAAAGCAAGCGUUAGCUUGAAUACAUUAGCAUGGAAUA
rnacentral:rRNA from 1 species